rnacentral:rRNA from 1 species
UACGUAGGGCGCAAGCGUUGUCCGGAAUUAUUGGGCGUAAAGAGCUCGUAGGCGGUCUGUCGCGUCGGAUGUGAAAGCCCGGGGCUUAACCCCGGGUCUGCAUUCGAUACGGGCAGACUAGAGUGUGGUAGGGGAGAUCGGAAUUCCUGGUGCAGCGGUGAAAUGCGCAGAUAUCAGGAGGAACACCGGUGGCGAAGGCGGUUCUCUGGGCAUGUCCUGACGCUGAGGAGCGAAAGUGUGGGGAGCGAACAGG